rnacentral:rRNA from 1 species
AGGACAAACGCUGGCGGCGUGCAUAACACAUGCAAGUCGAACGAGUGCAGCAAUGCACGAGUGGCGGACGGGUGAGGAACACGUGGAUGACCGACCUUUUACUGGGGAAUACCCGUGGGAAACCACGGCUAAUACCGCAUACGUUCGAGAGAAGAAAGCCUUCGGGCGGUAAGAGACGGGUCUGCGGUCGAUUAGCUAGUUGGUGCGGUAACGGCGCACCAAGGCGACGAUCGAUAGCUGGUCUGAGAGGAUGAUCAGCCACAUUGGGAUUGAGAACGGCCCAAAUCCCUACGGGGAGCAGCAGUGAGGAAUAUUCGGCAAUGGGCGCAAGCCUGACCGAGCGACGCCGCGUGGGGGACGACGCAUUUCGGUGUGUAAACCCCUUUUCUGUGGGACGAGACAGGACGGUACCACAGGAAUAAGUCUCGGCUAACUACGCGCCAGCAGCCGC